rnacentral:lncRNA from 1 species
UGGGAAGGAAAAUGUGGGAGGAAGGCAACAGUGGGGUUACAAAAGGCAAUGGUUCUUUUUACUGAUGAUGCUAGUUUGUAAACCUUACUAAAGAAAAAUAAACAUACAUAUCAUUUUAUUAUGGCUAAAACAAACAAAACAAACAAACAAUAAACUUCUACCAUUGGGAUGUUUAAAAUGCUUUUAGCUGUUUUUUUGUUUGUUUGUUUGUUUUGUGUGUGUGUGUGUUUUCUUUCCUUUAUUUCUUUCAUUUUUUCUCUGAUCACAGAUGAACUGUGAAUGAAGCAGUCAUGGUGGUCUACAUCUUUUUAAACAGAAAUGCAAGAAAAAAACUAGAACAAGGCAGGAAAAUGUCAUUAAAGGAAGGGGAAAAGUUUCUUCAUGUCCGGCAGCAUUCAGAAUUUACCCUGAGAGCUUUCCUUGGGGGAAAGGUAUCAGAAGAACAGUUAUCUGCACCUCGGAUGAAGUGGAAAAUUUAGUUGUAAGUGGCAUUUACUGCUCUCUUCAGUAGCAAUAAUCCAACCAUUGAAACGUUACUAAGAUUGCUUCUUUUGACCCUUUUUAACAAGAUCACAGCUUUCAGCAUUUCAAGUACCCUUAUCAACCAGACCCAGCAGUGGCUUCAGGAAAGGCAUUACCGGAUCCAGGAAGCUUUAAGGUGUCAGAGGGAGUCAAUCAGCCCCACUACUAAGCAAUUCUUAUAAAAAAAUCCUUUGCUCUUUACUUUGUGUGAUUGUUCCCUUCCUCAUUGACGUGGGGGCUGUAAGGUUGGUGGAAGAAAGAACCUUGUGAGCAAUGUACAAGCUUUUUCUCAACAUAAGUGACUUUUAUGAAACCUCAGCUUAUUAAGGCAGCUACUAAGGUGUGUGCAUUGGAGGAGAUGUGAUUGAAAAGUCUUCAGAGAUGAGGUCUGCAAAACACUAAGCAACCUUUAAGGCUGUCAGAGUAGAAAUCAGCAUGUCCCAACAGCAUGGUAUGUAUGAGGUUUAUAUUGUGGCAGUCACAGAAAAUUUCUUCUUUCUUCCCACCUUCUUAAUUGCAGAAUGUUGCUAUGUUCCAGGGAAAUACACAUUGAUAUUGUGAUCUACAACAGCAGGUGAAGGCACUCCACAACGGAAGAUAACCUUUUUCAACAUUCAAAGUUAGAGGUCAAAGAAGAAGUAGGUGUUAAACACAAUUAAUGCUUUUGAAUAAUUUAGCAACGUUUUCAAAGUUUGAAAUCACAAGGCUUUUGGACUUUUAAAGCUGGCAAGAACUAGAAAGAGGACUUAGGGAAACUGAACUUUAAUUUUCCGUUCUUUGAAGAUAUCAAAGGAACUCCUAACUCUUGUUUGGUCUGUCAGGAAAAGAAAGGAAGCAUAAGGGUUAUUUUCAUGUCUUCUCGUUUUUCCACGGAUCACUAUUGUAUUUCUGUCUGUACUGUAUAUCUUGCAACUUUUAUAUGGGUUAACUGAUCUUUGAUUCCAUUACAAAAUAUUU